rnacentral:rRNA from 1 species
UACGGAGGAUCCAAGCGUUAUCCGGAAUCAUUGGGUUUAAAGGGUCCGUAGGCGGGUUUAUAAGUCAGUGGUGAAAGUUUGCGGCUCAACCGUAAAAUUGCCAUUGAUACUGUAGAUCUUGAAUUAGUGUGAAGUGGUUAGAAUAAGUAGUGUAGCGGUGAAAUGCAUAGAUAUUACUUAGAAUACCAAUUGCGAAGGCAGAUCACUAACACUAUAUUGACGCUGAGGGACGAAAGCGUGGGGAGCGAACAGG